UGGCAGGUUUCAGAGACGAGGUCUGUCUGU
rnacentral:piRNA from 1 species